rnacentral:miRNA from 1 species
UAGCUGGGCAAUGGUCUGAUGAGCUCACAGCCAGGCACUGGCUGAUGCCCAGCUCUC